GCCUGGCUAGCUCAAUAGGUAGAGCGACAGACUCUUAAUCUGUAGGCUGUGGGUUCGAGUCCCGCGCUGGGUA